rnacentral:rRNA from 1 species
AACCCGGAGAUAUCUCGUUCUCCCCGAAAUAGCUUUAGGGCUAGCGUCGCGCGUUCACCGCCGGAGGUAGAGCACCGGAUGGACGAGGGGGCUUCGCCGCCUACCGAAUCCAACCGAACUCCGAAUGCCGGCGGCCCAGAGCGCGGCAGUCAGAGCAUGUGGGCUAAGCUGUGUGCUCGAGAGGGAAACAGCCCGGACCGCCCGCUAAGGUCCCCAAGUUCCAGCCGAGUGGCAAAGGAUGUGCGUCCGCCCAGACAACCAGGAUGUUGGCUUAGAAGCAGCCAUCCAUUCAAAGAGUGCGUAACAGCUCACUGGUCGAGUGGACAUGCGCCGACAAUACACGGGGCUAAGCUGGACACCGAAGCGGCGGGAUUUUGAUUUUCAGAAUCGGUAGGGGAGCUUCCCAUGGGCGGUGAAGCCGCCGGGCGACCGGCGGUGGAGCGCAUGGGAGUGAGAAUGCUGGCAUGAGUAGCGAGAGACGAGAGAGUAACUCGUCCGCCGUGAACCCGAGGUUUCCUGGGCAAGGCUAAUCCUCCCAGGGUCAGUCGGGGGCUAAGGCGAGGCCGGGAGGCGUAGCCGACGCGCAGCAGGCAGACAUUCCUGCACCGCGCACGCGGCGCUACGACCGACGGGGCGACGGAUGGGGGUGGCUCGGCGGGGUUCUGGACGUCCCCGUGAUGGAGCGCGGCCCGCGGACCAGGGAAAUCCGGUCCGCACGAGGGCGAGGCUCCGGACGAAGCGAUCAAGCGAAGCGAGUGAGCCCGAGGUCCCUAGAAAAACCCCUAGGCAGGCGCGUGCGCGCCCGUACCGCAAACCGACACAGGUGGGUGGGUAGAACAUACCGAGGCGAUCGGGUCAACCAUGGUCAAGGAACUCGGCACAAUGGCCCCGUAACUUCGGGAGAAGGGGUGCCCGCGCGUACGUGAACGGACUUGCUCCGGGAGCGGAGGCGGGCCGCAGUGGAGAGGCCCAAGCGACUGUUUACCAAAAACACAGGACUCUGCAGAAGCCGCAAGGCGACGUAUAGGGUCUGACGCCUGCCCGGUGCCGGAAGGUCACGCGGAGGAGUUAGCGCAUCGCGCGAAGCCCCGAAGCCAAGCCCCGGUAAACGGCGGCCGUAACUAUAACGGUCCUAAGGUAGCGAAAUUCCUUGUCGGGUAAGUUCCGACCUGCACGAAAGGCGCAACGACUUGGGCGCUGUCUCGACCAUGGACCCGGUGAAAUUGCACUGGUCGUGAAGAUGCGACUUACCCGCGGAAGGACGGAAAGACCCCGUGAACCUUCACUGCAGCUUGGCAUUGGCCGCUGGUCCCGCGUGUAGAGGAUAGGCAGGAGGCACAGAUCCGGAGGCGCCAGCCCCCGGGGAGCCGCCCUUGGAAUACUGCCCUCGCGCGACCGGCGUCCUAACCCGAGGCCGUCAACCGGCUCGGGGACCGUGCCAGGCGGGCAGUUUGACUGGGGCGGUCGCCUCCUAAAGGGUAACGGAGGCGCGCGAAGGUCCGCUCGGGACGGUCGGCAACCGUCCUUUUGAAUGCAAGAGUACAAGCGGGCUUGACUGCGAGGCCCACAAGCCGAGCAGGUGCGAAAGCAGGCUCUAGUGAUCCGGCGGCCCCGAGUGGGUGGGCCGUCGCUCAACGGAUAAAAGGUACUCCGGGGAUAACAGGCUGAUCUUGCCCAAGAGUCCACAUCGACGGCAAGGUUUGGCACCUCGAUGUCGGCUCAUCGCAUCCUGGGGCUGGAGCAGGUCCCAAGGGUACGGCUGUUCGCCGUUUAAAGCGGUACGCGAGCUGGGUUCAGAACGUCGUGAGACAGUUCGGUCCCUAUCCUCCGUGGGCGCAGGAGAAUCGAUGGAGGCUGCCCCCAGUACGAGAGGACCGGGGUGGACGCACCUCCGGUGAACCGGUUGUCGACCAACGGCACGGCCGGGUAGCCGCGUGCGGCGCGGAUAACCGCUGAAGGCAUCUAAGCGGGAAGCCGUUCCAGGGAUUAGUUCUCCUUCCGGUAAGGGCCCAGGUAGACUACCUGGUCGAUAGACGGCAGGUGCAAGGCUGGCGACAGCCUCAGCCGAGCCGCACUAAUCGCCCGAGCUCUUCCGGAA